rnacentral:rRNA from 1 species
CUACGUGCCAGCAGCCGCGGUAAUACGUAGGGGGCAAGCGUUAUCCGGAUUUACUGGGUGUAAAGGGAGCGUAGACGGUUGUAUAAGUCUGGAGUGAAAGCACGGGGCCCAACCCCGGGACUGCUUUGGAAACUGUGCGGCUGGAGUGUCGGAGAGGCAAGUGGAAUUCCUAGUGUAGCGGUGAAAUGCGUAGAUAUUAGGAGGAACACCAGUGGCGAAGGCGGCUUGCUGGACGACGACUGACGUUGAGGCUCGAAAGCGUGGGGAGCAAACAG